rnacentral:rRNA from 1 species
GAGUGGCAGACGGGUGAGUAACGCGUGGGAACAUACCCUCCGGUCCGGAAUAGCUCAGGGAAACUUGGAUUAAUACCGGAUACGGCUGAGAGGCGAAAGAUUUAUCGCCGGAGGAUUGGCCCGCGUUCGAUUAGCUUGUUGGUGAGGUAAUGGCUCACCAAGGCGAUGAUCGAUAGCUGGUCUGAGAGGAUGAUCAGCCACAUUGGGACUGAGACACGGCCCAAACUCCUACGGGAGGCAGCAGUGGGGAAUAUUGGACAAUGGGCGCAAGCCUGAUCCAGCCAUGCCGCGUGAGUGAUGACGGCCUUAGGGUUGUAAAGCUCUUUCGCUCGGGACGAUAAUGACGGUACCGAGAUAAGAAGCCCCGGCUAACUUCGUGCCAGCAGCCGCGGUAAUACGAAGGGGGCUAGCGUUGUUCGGAAUUACUGGGCGUAAAGCGCGUGUAGGCGGGUCUUUAAGUCAGGGGUGAAAUGCCAAGGCUCAACCUUGGAACUGCCUUUGAUACUG